UCAUGACCUGAGCCGAAGGCAGUCGCUUAACCAACUGAGCCACCCAGGCGCCCCAAGAGCAGUAGCCGUUUCUAAGAAGCGAACGUGGAACUGGCAGCUCCAGGCGGUCUGGGCUCCAGAUCCUCCCCUCGGGGUUGAGGCUGCCGUCGGUGUGUCCUCUGGGGUUCGUUACGCUGAUGUGGGUUUCAUUUGUGUCUCUUUGAAUGACAGGUUAGUGCCGGGUGCUGUGCUCUUACUGGUUGGUUGUGCUUGUGGGUGCGACCCAGAGGUGGCAUUCAUAGCGCUGCCCUCGGUCAGGCUCGCUCUGGGGGCCACACUCCUUUAACCCCGAGCGUGGUGGAGUUCUCUUGUGUUGCAGUCUGAUCGCUCGUCCCCAGGAGCCCCGGGAAUUUUCUCCUUUCGAAAUGGGUUUGUUACAUUGCAUUCCUUGUUUUUUCCCUAGAUCUGCGGAGGUUCAGAACCUAUAAAGGUGGCUCCGUUCGAGACCUCCUCCGAGCCAUGAGAAACAAGGUCGGUUUUCUCUUCCGGGAUGUUGAGACGAGGAGUUCCGCUCUGGGAAGCGGGCUGUCUGGUGUCAUCUGUGGUCUCUGCUGACUUGUGUGUGCCCUGUGAGACAGCACGGUAUAAACUCCCGUAAUGGGGACCUUCCCACACAGGCCUGGCCAGUGGGCCACUCCGGUAGGGCAGCUCCUGCCUGCCUCCCCAGCCCUGGGCCUGACUCGGCUCUGAGGCACCCUCCUGAACAAGGGGAAGCAGGGAAGGUAGGCGGAUGGACCGUUGAGUAUCUGAGUCUUUUCUCUUUGACAGAGAACCAACUGACGUUCUAUCUUCCUUGACUAGCGAGAGGAUCUUUCACCCGUGCUUCCUGGGCUUUCCAGCUGCUAACCCCUGUGUCUGUGUGUCCGCCUGUUUGCAGAAGCACCACUACCGGGAGCUCCCCGCGGAGGUGCGGGAGACGCUGGGCUCCCUCCCUGACGACUUCGUGCGCUACUUCACGUCCCGCUUCCCCCACCUCCUCUCCCACACCUACCGGGCCAUGGAGCCGUGCGGCCACGAGCGGCUCUUCCAGCCCUACUACUUCCACGAGCCCCCAGGGCCCUGGCCUCCAUUGACUCCAGACACCCUUUGAGCCAGGGUGGUCCUCCGUUCUGGUGGCCGCAGCUGUGACUGUGGGCCUGGUCUCUACAAGCCCGAGCCUGACGCCUCCCGGCUGGGCAAGGAGACCAGGCUCCCAAACCAAGUGCCUUGAGCUGUCCACAGUGCAGCCAGCAGGGGAUGAUGCCGACCCCAGGAAGCGGGAACCAUGACCCGUUCUGACCUGUAGAGAGCUGGGAAGAUGCUGACCACGAAAGUUCUGCAGUCGGGGGUCCUCUGCCAAGGAGGGCCCAUCCCCAGAGGCAGCGACAGAAGCAUCCUCCACCUUCUCCUGGAUGCACUUGCUUCAGACCUACACUUUCUUUUUUAAACUUCCUGUUUGAUGUCAGCCUGUGGGCCUGUAAGGAAGAGAGAGGAGGGAAUCCCACGUAUUGCCUGCGUGUGGGACCAGGAGCAUCUCUCUCCCUGGCCAGCGAGGCUAAGAGGCACUAAGCACAGCUUCUGCUCGAAGUGGGGCUCCAGAGGUGAGGGGUGUUACGGAGGAGGAAGUCGUUCAGAGCGUGUCGUUCCUGGGGAUCGGAGAUGCCUCACUCAUCACGGACGCACCCAGAGUUUCCCAGCUCACUCUGACCAGUGUUCUUUGGGGGCAGCGAGAGUCUUGAGUGUGAGGCGCAGCGUUGGGACAGGUGAGCACCGCACACUGGAAGAUGAGGCCGUGUCUGCAGAUCUCUUAGAAACGAAGAGGACGCUCUGUCCUGAGUCCACGGUAGCCCAGUGCAUCAGUGGCCUUUGGUGGAUUUGGGGGAUGUUUAGGAGCAUUUGGGGGCAAGAGGUGAUAAGUUCCCCAUCAAGAAGAGCAACACCCAGGCAGGAACAGGCCUUUGGGACCAGAGGGGAGCAGGCCAGAUGGGACACUCACGGCCACCGUGGGGGAGUCCUGGGCCAGCAGGUGGGCAAUGUGGCUCCUCCGUCCCUGGAGCCAGCAGGACGGGCCAGGGGGUCGGGAGAAGAGGCCAGGGUCACCACGGGCUUCGUGGGCAGGCUUUUAUGUUUCUCUUGGCAGAUUUUAAUAACUUUAUAUUUUGAUCAUACUGUAGAAUGCUAUGUUAGCAUAAGUAAGCUGAACUUGAAGCUUCCUUGUGAAGAAGAUAAAUGCAAGAUAUAUAAUUCACUUUUUAUUUUGUGGGUACCAAAAGUCUCCCUCCCCUCCAGAGAGAGCGUUCACGUUCAGAACAUGCUCUACUGCUGAAGAGUAAAACAGUGUAGCAAGGCUAUAUACAUCCAUUAAACAACUUCAAAGUAAUAGUCCCUAAAUUAUGUCAAUAUCUUUUUUUGCUAAAAUUAGUGUAGUUUUUAACUUUAGUUUCAGUCAGAAAUUCCUGUCUUUUCCUCUACCGAGAGCCUUAGCGGUUAAAUGUGAGCAGGGUACAGUGUGGAGGUGUUCCCCGUGUCCUUUGUCCAGCCGGGUGAGUGGGUCCCUGCACUUCAUUCAGUGCUGGGGAGCUCGGAGACUCCACUCGGGAGUAAGGAUGUUACUGACGGACCGAGAACUCACUGUUUCUUCUGUGAAAUGCUUCCUGAUGGUGGAUUGGACUGAGGGCCACUCCUCAAAAGCUCUCCUUCUGUCUUCGUAGAAUUCAGUUCCCUUCCUUUCAUAAUGCCCGGAGUCACUUUUUUCCUUAAAUUCACAUUAUCCUCCAUCUGCGUUAUCCUCCACCCUCACCGGUUACCUCAUCUAGACCUGGGAACCCCGGUGUUCUGGGCUGGCCUUGUGGUGAGUCUUCUGCCAUACCGCCCGUUUUUCAGGAACCCGGCCAGAUGCCUGCCCUCUCCCUGCUCUGCUGCAUCCACGCCAUUGUCCCUGUGGCCCUGCGGUCACUUUGCGGCCGGGCCUGAGUGGCGAUCCCCCCCCACCAGGCAGUCAGGUGGAGAAGGUCCCACAAGUGACGGGCAGGCUGUCGGUCCUCUGUGCUGCUUCUGUCUCGUGGCCGAACGGUGUCGUUGGGGGAGUAGCCAGUCACUUCUGGCUGCCCAGGGUUUGUGUCCUCUCGCUGUUCAGGCCCAGCUUGUCUCCAGGACAACUGUUUUUCACAUGCCUUUUCUGCUUCUCCUCUUCAUUUCUACCCACCCAUCUUCUCAAAUUCAUGUAUUCGAUGUGUUGGAUUCUGGGUACUCACGGGGUGAGCCAGGCUGGAUCCCGGGGGCUGGGGACGCAGAGGUGAACAAGAUAGGCAAAACCUCUGCUUUUGUGAGAGCGUAGAGGGAGAGACACAACAAACCGUAAAGAUCAGGGCUCCAGGAAAAGCCGUCCUCCGUCAGCCUUCUCUCCGUCACUUUUAGGAACCUGGUCACUCCUCAGCCCCUCGGGUGGCUUGAAGAGGUCUCAUGUGGACCCUGGUCAUGCAAACUGCUUGGGCAUUCUCCACCACAUCUCUCUUGUCUCUAGAAUCCUGGUUUCCUGUUGUGCUCUGCACCAUGAGACGGUGUCUGUCCUUUGCUAGAACAGGGCUCUGCGGCCUUGUGUAUCCUGUCACAGCGGAGCUAUUUGAUCUUUAGCACGAUUCCUGGAAGGCUGUUUAACUUUUUAGAAAUACACUAUCUUCAUUGUCACGACAGAAUUUAGUCAUAUCUGUUGGGAAUCCCAGGGACACUCUCAUUAAAUCCUGUGUUGAAUCUGUCUUUGGCACGCCUGCCAGAAUUUCUCCGGUUGCUUCUUGAGUCUUUUUAACUGCAGUUUAUCGAGAGCUCCCGUGUCGCUAGGAAUCAGAGCACUUGCACUUUGGGGGAUCAUUGGUGUCUGUGGUAAGUCACUAAAUCAUCUAGUGGCGGAUCUAAAACCCUGGGUGCAGAGGGGCUCUCCCUCACCCCGCCCUCUCCGUGCCAUAGCCAUCCUAGGCUCUUUCCAGUGAGACCUCACUCUGACCCAUUACACGGAUUAGAAGAUCCACAGGUUAGUGGGCCCCGCAAAGUAUUUUCUUUCUACCAACUCUAGAAGAAAGGCCUUGAUCAGAAUCAACUCCGGGCAAGGUUUUGUGUGAAUGUGGUUUGUUUACCAUUGCACUUCUUUCACACCACAGUGAAAGAUGCGGUGGCUGCUGAUCGGACCUCUCGCAGAUGUGGGGGGCCUCUGGGUUGUAGACCUUUCUCUUCUUGGCCGCUGUCUCUUCAGAAGUUGGGCUCUGGCCGGGUUUGGGUUUCCUGAGUCUGCUUUCGCCUUCCCGCUCUGUGUAUUGGGUCCUCAGCCUGGAGGUCGUCGCAGAAGGUAGGCUGGUUCACCUUCUGCUGCCUUCUGUGCCACGAGCCCUGGAAGAGCACACAGCACACGUGUACAGAGCCUCUCUACAUUCUCUGCUCUUUUAGUGUCUGAACUCCCUUUUCUUCACAUAUCCCAGUGUCUCUUCCUUGCUGAUUCCUUCACCAUCCUGGAGUUGUCCUUGCAGCUGAGUGUGGCCUGGCAUUGACCUUUCCUGGAAGAAAGUCACUGGGUGUCCCAUACAGAUGAGCCAAAAUGCCACCUUCCAAGGUUGGACUAUGAUCUUUUAAACCAAAGUGUCUCCUCAUCCUGCACUUUGUUUUCUUGAUGAAACAGUGAUUUCCCCCACGAGUAACCCUGGUUUCAGUUUUUUGUAUCUGCCCGUGAAUCCUUUCUGUAUUCAUUGGGCAACCACAAAGAGCGCAUCUGCAAUGAGCCUCCCCCUGGGGCAGCCUUAACCUCCACUUCCGGCCAAAGUCCCCACUCCACUCGCCUCACCCUGUGUUUGGCGGGUACAGUGUUCCUUUUCAGUAUCCCAAAAGCUGUGACGGGGGCAUCCCCACUUACCUAGAGAGCAUUACCAGUCAACCAUGCGGCAUUCUCAAAUGCAAACCUUACGUAGUGUUCUUUUUGCCAUGACCUAUUUAUUUAACCUAUUUAUAUUUAUUUAAUUUUUACUCUGACGUAUAUCCAGCUAUAAUUGCACUUGCUUUUAAAGCACAUCAGAUUUGUUUUGGACAACACACCCCUGACCAUUCUAAAACUGGAAAAAGAAAAGUUAUACUGUAUCCUUCCAUGGGAUGGACGCCUCACAGUAGUUUUAUCAUUAAAGGGUGAGAAAUUUGGUCAGGGUAAAAAUUUUCUUUUUUGAGUGAUUUUUUUAAAAAAAUUCUGUGCCAUUGUGUCUUCUCUGUAGACAGUUGUUUAAUGGGUAUGUGUUAAUUAUGUGAUAGAAUCCUCUCUGUGAACCUACAAUCCUCUUUUUAGCUUUAUAUUUUAUAAACUGCCAGAUUGUACAAUUUUUAUGUGUAUUUUUAAAGCUUGAUGUGAGGGUAAUUAUCUAAGUUAAACAGCCUAUUUUUGUACCUCCUGUACAGUUUUAUAAUUCUGCUGAUUGAUAAAGGCGUCUUACGCAGCGCCAACCACAAAUAAAGGUAGUUUUAGACCUGGAA